UUCAAUGGCCCUGUCCUGUAAGUUGCCUGUGAAUCAAAACUUGCUCUUGCCCUGACUCUAUCUUGCCUGCACCCUGCCACAUGAAUCUGCCUCAUCGUGUUGUCAGCCAAAGCCUGUUUUUGACCACCAUUAGCCUGAUCCCUGUCUGUACCAUCAAUAUUGUGAUGCUUGGUAGCAGCCACAUCACUUGGUUGUGGCAAAAAAUGUCAUGUCAAAUCCCACCUAAUGUCAAUAGUUACACACCACUACAUUUAUUUGUAUGCCAGCAUUACAGCUCUUCUAUGACACCAGGAAAGCGGAGCGCCUGUCAAAACAUUCCAAGAAGAGGCAAUGAAUAAUGAAAAAAAAAGAAAAAAAAAAGGAUCCUAAAGUGAUGGAGGCAAUAGAAGCAAAACGCAAGGCUUAUCUCACCUGUCCAAUUUUUGCAGAGAGCAAAUGUGUAUGAUGAUUUUUGUGUUAAGUUUGUUGGCAGACAUUUUUUUUCUUUUUUUUUGUUCUGUCCAGCAGUUUAACAGCAGUUUAGCAACCAGCUGCUGAAACAAAGCAAAUCUGUUAAGUAAACAUUCGAAGCAAAAUAAAUAAGCAGGAAUGUACCUUAGGCUAACACAUUCAUAACUACAGUUAACAACUGUUGUACUGUGGUUUACCUUGGCGAUUAAUACUAAUACCAAUAAUAGUGUUAAAGGGCUCAUAUCAUGCAAAAUCCACUUUUUAGACAUUUUGGAGCGUUCCUAUGACUCUAUGGGUCACAUAUACACACACUGAGCACGGUAGAAAUGCAUUUCCUGCUUUUUUCACAAUUUGAAAACGUAAAUUUUCUCACCCAAUGAAAACAGACCACGACCUACUCUGAGGCCGUGUCCCAGUUGUCGUCACCUUGGUCGGAAGUUCUCCCUGCAAAUCCUGAACCACCACCCCCACAAUGAUCCCGAACCAAAACUGGACUUCCGCCAUUUCCCCCCUCUCACUCACCGUGAACAGACCAGCACGGCAGCGCCCAAGUCCUCCCAUAGAAAUAGUUCGGUUCUUAGGUUUUCUAACCAACACCAAAGUCUAUUCACUUUAACAAGGGAUCAACAAGUGAGGAUUUGUGGGUCACUUUUAUUUUUAACGGACCGGUGCCAGAAACACUGCCUCAGCAUUUAUACGUAUGUGCAUUUCAAACGAGGGUGCGUACAAUGCUGGAUUUGUUUAACGGCUCCUGUUGGAAAAAAAGGAUCUAUUCCUACAGUCCGUCAUCCACUCACUGAAGGAGCCACAUCCCAGUUACCUACAUGCAAGGAGGCUGUCAAACAGAGAAAUCACUGCAGACUGUUGGUACACGGACAUCUGUUGCCCAGCUCAGGAGUGAAGUACCUUUUUGUUUUGAUGAGGUGAUGGUGAGGACAGCCACAGCUUCCAUCUGGUAGAGGACUGCUUCCGCUCAGUCUUCCAAAUAGUGAUGAGAACAAGGAUCACCACAUCUCCCUGUUUACCCUACUUUCAUGCAUUUCGUCUGCAAGGCCCUGCAAAAGCUUCUGUCCUCAAACCCCCAGACUUCUUAAUUAACUCAGUAACCUAUACAUUGCACAUUGGAGUGUGAAGGUAACAGUUUGUUCUAGCUUUGGAGUAGUGGUGCAUUUUUUUGGUUUACAAUAAAGUUGGCUUUAACUAUUA